UACGUAGGGUGCAAGCGUUGUCCGGAAUUAUUGGGCGUAAAGAGCGUGUAGGCGGCCAGACAGGUCCGUUGUGAAAACUCGAGGCUCAACCUCGAGAUGUCGAUGGAAACCGUCUGGCUAGAGUCCGGAAGAGGAGUGUGGAAUUCCUGGUGUAGCGGUGAAAUGCGCAGAUAUCAGGAGGAAUACCGAUGGCGAAGGCAGCCCCCUGGGUUGAUACUGACGCUCAUGCACGAAAGCGUGGGGAGCAAACAGG
rnacentral:rRNA from 1 species